GAUGAACGCUAGCGGCAGGCUUAACACAUGCAAGUCGAACGGUAACAGGAAUUAGCUUGCUAAUUUGCUGACGAGUGGCGCACGGGUGCGUAACGCGUAUACAAUCUACCUUUUACAGGGGGAUAGCCUUUAGAAAUGAAGAUUAAUACCCCAUAGUAUAUAUAGAUGGCAUCGUUUAUAUAUUAAAGAUUUAUUGGUAAAAGAUGAGUAUGCGUUCUAUUAGCUAGAUGGUGUGGUAACGGCACACCAUGGCAACGAUAGAUAGGGGCCCUGAGAGGGGGAUCCCCCACACUGGUACUGAGACACGGACCAG
rnacentral:rRNA from 1 species